rnacentral:rRNA from 1 species
AUUGAACGCUGGCGGCAGGCCUAACACAUGCAAGUCGAGCGGAUGAAGGGAGCUUGCUCCUGGAUUCAGCGGCGGACGGGUGAGUAAUGCCUAGGAAUCUGCCUGGUAGUGGGGGAUAACGUCCGGAAACGGGCGCUAAUACCGCAUACGUCCUGAGGGAGAAAGUGGGGGAUCUUCGGACCUCACGCUAUCAGAUGAGCCUAGGUCGGAUUAGCUAGUUGGUGGGGUAAAGGCCUACCAAGGCGACGAUCCGUAACUGGUCCGAGAGGAUGAUCAGUCACACUGGAACUGAGACACGGUCCAGACUCCUACGGGAGGCAGCAGUGGGGAAUAUUGGACAAUGGGCGAAAGCCUGAUCCAGCCAUGCCGCGUGUGUGAAGAAGGUCUUCGGAUUGUAAAGCACUUUAAGUUGGGAGGAAGGGCAGUAAGUUAAUACCUUGCUGUUUUGACGUUACCAACAGAAUAAGCACCGGCAAACUUCGUG